AACAGAAUUUCAUAAUGAAGUUAAAUUCGCAUGAUUUGAUUUGCACACUUAUUCCCCUAGAAGACACACAUAUAAAAGGAACAUCUCGAGCGCAUAUUUCAUUAUUCAACAAAUCUACCAUUUUCAUGAAGUAAGUAAACUCCCAAGAAAUUCUCAAAAUGAAACAAUCUUCAGUUAUUUUCGGGCUAUUACUCAUCGUCGCAAUUGCGACAUUUACUCCAACCGAGGCCGCACCCCAAUUGGGGACUUGCCGUUGGGGAGGACGUUGGGCUUGUGUGGGGUCAUGCUAUGCGCAAAACUGCGCGACCGGAUACUGCAACGGGGAGACAUGCACUUGCUCCAGAUGCGGAAGUGGCAGCGCCCCCGUCCCCUGGGGAAAAUAAUUUUGACGACGACGUGGCAAAAACCUACGGACUAAAUGAAUUUCGAAAUAGUUGCUAUUUAAAUUUACUAGAACACUGGUUUUAAAUAAAUAAUUUUACAAAUGAAUUAAAUAUAUCGUAGAUACAUA